ACGAAGGUGGCGAGCGUUACUCGGAAUUACUAGGCGUAAAGCGUGGGCAGGCGGUUCGGUAAGUCUGUUGUGGAAGCUCCCGGCUCAACCGGGAGAGGCCAAUGGAAACUACCGAGCUUGAAUCGAGGAGGGGUCACUGGAAUUCCCGGUGUAGCGGUGAAAUGCGUAGAGAUCGGGAGGAACAUCCAUGGCGAAGGCAGGUGACUGGACUCGUAUUGACGCUCAUCCACGAAAGCUGGGGGAUCAAACAG
rnacentral:rRNA from 1 species